CCGGAGCACAACUCAACUGGUGGAUCAAUCAACAUUAGCUUGCUUCCAGCGACAAGGUGGAGAGUUCGAUUCCUGGUGGGAACCUGCGGCCAAAAAUUUGGUAUGGAGCAAUCACUGUGGAUGAGGGUCUCUUGUGCGCAGAAGUGUACAGUUAAUGGGAGGAACCUGUGAUCCAGUUGAGGCACAACCCGCGAUUUACCCUCUCCAAG
rnacentral:lncRNA from 1 species